rnacentral:rRNA from 1 species
AGGGAAUCUUCCGCAAUGGACGAAAGUCUGACGGAGCAACGCCGCGUGAGUGGUGAAGGUUUUCGGAUCGUAAAGCUCUGUUGCCAGGGAAGAACGUCCGUUAGAGUAACUGCUAACGGAGUGACGGUACCUGAGAAGAAAGCCCCGGCUAACUACGUGCCAGCAGCCGCGGUAAUACGUAGGGGGCGAGCGUUGUCCGGAAUUAUUGGGCGUAAAGCGCGCGCAGGCGGCUGUUAAGUCUGGUGUUUAAUCCGGGGGCUCAACCCCGGGUCGCACUGGAAACUGGGCAGCUGGAGUGCAGAAGAGGAGAGUGGAAUUCCACGUGUAGCGGUGAAAUGCGUAGAGAUGUGGAGGAACACCAGUGGCGAAGGCGACUCUCUGGGCUGUAACUGACGCUGAGGCGCGAAAGCGUGGGGAGCAAAC